GACGAACGCUGGCGGCGUGCCUAAUACAUGCAAGUCGAACGAGCGGCAGACGGGUGAGCAAUGUAUGGGGAUCUGCCCGGGGGAGGGGGAUAACUAAUGGAAACGGAGGCCAAUACCGCAUACUAUCGGAUGAACCCAUUUGGGAUUAGCUAGUAGGGGGGGUAAAGGCUCACCUAGGUGACGAUCUCUAGCUGGUCUGAGAGGAUGAUCAGCCACACUGGGACUGAGACACGGUCCAGACUCCUACGGGAGGCAGCAGUGGGGAAUAUUGCACAAUGGGCGCAAGCCUGAUGCAGCCAUGCCGCGUGUAUGAAGAAGGCCUUAGGGUUGUAAAGUACUUUCAGCGGGGAGGCGUUACCCGCAGAAGAAGCACCGGCUAACUCCGUGCCAGCAGCCGCGGUAAUAC
rnacentral:rRNA from 1 species